AUGUGGGCGUGCCCGAAAGGGAACCUAGACACAGGGUGCUGCAUGGCUGUCGCCAGCUCGGUGUCGUGAGAUGUUGGGUUAAGUCCCGCAACGAGCGCAACCCUUGCCAUUAGUUGCUACAUUCAGUUGGGCACUCUAAUGGGACCGCCGGUGACAAACCGGAGGAAGGUGGGGAUGACGUCAAGUCCUCAUGGCCCUUAUGGGUAGGGCUUCACACGUAAUACAAUGGUCGGUACAGAGGGCUGCCAACCCGCAAGGGGGAGCUAAUCCCAGAAAGCCGAUCGUAGUCCGGAUUGUAGUCUGCAACUCGACUGCAUGAAGCCGGGAUCGCUAGUAAUCGCGGAUCAGCAUGUCGCGGUGAAUACGUUCCCGGGUCUUGU
rnacentral:rRNA from 1 species